UCUAGAUGGAAAUAAUCCAAACCAUCUUCUUAGGGAACAUCCAUAAAUUACGUAACACAUUUUGAAGAUUUUUUAGACUCCCCCCCCCUGGUAUGUAACAGAUCGUAACAAAUUACCAGACACCCCCCCCUACCCCUAAAGAAUUUGUUACGUAACAUAAUCAUUUUGUCUCAACAGAAAAAGUUCUUGAAUUAUUUAAAUUUAAAUUUAUUGCACAAAACAAUUGCUACAUAUUUAGUUUAUUAAUUAAAGAAGUAAUAUGAAAAAUUAACGUUCAUUUUUUAAUUAAAUAUAAUUAUAAAAGUAUGAUUAGAAAUUUUUUUUUCAUUUUUUAAUCCAAGCAAUAUAAUUAAAUUUUUGUUACGUAACAUAUGUUAGAUUGACACCCCCCCUUAACGUAACAAUGCAUAACAAAUUGAAAUA